UAACAGCUGAUCGUCGCUCUCCGCUCGUAUUAAUGGACCGUGUCAUCAGAAUUACUGCCGAAUAUUAUGGCGAAAAUAAAGUCUUGGACACGUAAACAUUUUGGCCGCAAACUUUGGACAUUCCAACAGGACUCAGCACCAUCGCACUCAGCACGCGUCACCCAAGAAUGGCUACAAAAUGAGGUUCCUCGCUUCAUAUCCAGCGCACAAUGGCCACCAAAAUCUCCGUAUACCAAUCCGUUGGACUAUUGUGUCUGGAGUAUUUUGGAAAGCAAGCAACAUUCGGGCAGCGUGUGACGGUUUCAUUGUCCGCUUGAAGGCCAUAUUUCGUGCAAAAAGUCACCAAUUCGAACAAAUCUGAACUUAUUCUAAAAUUUUAUGCUAUUUCCGACAUUUAUUGCUUUCAUUCAAUAAAAUUAAAAAAAAACAUUAAAA